GGGAUGGCGAGCUGCAGGUGCAUCUCUGGACAUGCUUUCUUCUACACGGGGGAGCGCUGUCAGGCCGUGCAGGUGCACGGCAGUGUCCUGGGCAUGGUGAUCGGAGGCACGGCUGGCGUGAUCUUCUUGACCUUCUCCAUCAUCGCCAUCCUUUCCCAAAGGCCAAGGAAGUGACCUGCCUGCUGGCAUUGGCCAGACCACAGCAGCACCUCCUCCAUGCAGGCCUUAACUUUCCCAUGGUCAAUGCAGUUUUUAUCAGCCUUGCUUUGGAUAGGACCUCCAAGGACUAAGGCCUCCAGCCCCAUGUGUGACCCUUGUCAUCUCUCUGCCCCACAUAAUUCUGUUACUUUGCUAUGUGCUCCUAAUGUAUCUAGUGUGUCCUGUGACAACACUCAUCACACUUCAUUGUAAAUCACUUGUUUUAUUGACUGUCUUUCCUAUAGACUGUAAGCUCCAUGAGGGCAGGCACAUGUUGUUCUCAUUGACCGUGCUGGCCCCAGUGCCUAGAUGCAUGGCUGGCACAUUGUUGGCACUCAACAAUGGUUGAAUGAAUAAAACAAUAAAUGAAUGAAUAACUAAGAUAUAGAAACUCUCAUUUAUAUUGCAGAUUGAAUAUAUAUGAUGAAAUUCUUAUGUUGAAUAUGUUAGAAUCAAAUACUCAUUUUUCAUUAGAUACAGUAGUGUCAUCACUCUUUUAAGAUCUUGUUAAAGAUUUCAAAUAAAGGUACUUCUGGGCAGCCAGGCUGCACAGCAUUUGCUUUCCUCUGAGAUUCUAAGAGAAGGCCUUUAAUAAAUUUAAUAAAUAUUG
rnacentral:lncRNA from 10 species